GCGAUCAUACUAGAACUAAUGCACUGAAUCUCAUCAGAACUCCGCAAUUAAGAAUAUUUAUACGAGAGUAGUACUAGAAUGGAUGACCACCUGGGAAGUCCUCAUGUUGCACUCU